rnacentral:rRNA from 1 species
CAGAGAACUUAGCAGAGACGCUUGUUGCUUCGGGAACUCUGAGACAGGUGCUGCAUGUGCUGUCGUCAGCUCGUGUUGUGAAAUGUUGGGUUAAGUCUCCCNGAAAAGANGAGGCCAACCCUUUAUCCUUUGUUGCCAGCGGUCCGGCCGGGAACUCAAAGGAGACUGCCAGUGAUAAACUGGAGGAAGUGUGGGGAUGACGUCAAGUCAUCAUGGCCCUUACGAGUAGGGCUACACACGUGCUACAAUGGCGCAUACAAAGAGAAGCGACCUCGCGAGAGCAAGCGGACCUCAUAAAGUGCGUCGUAGUCCGGAUUGGAGUCUGCAACUCGACUCCAUGAAGUCGGAAUCGCUAGUAAUCGUAGAUCAGAAUGCUACGGUGAAUACGUUCCCGGG